AGCAGCCGCGGUAAUUCCAGCUCCAAUAGCGUAUAUUAAAGUUGUUGCAGUUAAAAAGCUCGUAGUUGAAUUUCGGGAUUUAUCCGUUGGUCGGGCUUUUUGGUCUGUACUGGCGUGAUGGAUUCCUACCUUCUGAAUAACCGGCAUGCCAUUAAUUUGGUGCGCCGGGGAAGCAGGACUGUUACCUUGAAAAAAUUAGAGUGCUUAAAGCAGGCUUAUGCCUGAAUACAUUAGCAUGGAAUAAUGAAAUAGGACGCAUGGUUCUAUUUUGUUGGUUUCUAGGAUCACCGUAAUGAUUAAUAGGGAUAGUUGGGGGCAUUAGUAUUCAAUUGUCAGAGGUGAAAUUCUUGGAUUUAUUGAAGACUAACUUCUGCGAAAGCAUUUGCCAAGGAUGUUUUCAUUAAUCAAGAACGAAAGUUAGGGGAUCGAAGACGAUCAGAUACCGUCGUAGUCUUAACCAUAAACUAUGCCGACUAGGGAUCGGACGAUGUUAAUUUUUUAAUGACUCGUUCGGCGCCUU
rnacentral:rRNA from 1 species